ensembl:lncRNA
AUUAUACGUAAGUGUUGGAUAUUGAACUCAAAGCCUUUGAGUUAAAGUACAUUCCUAACCCUUUUUAUUUUUUUUAACUUUUAAAACAUUUUAAAAAAUCUCUAAAAAUUUUUUCUCCUUAUUUCGAGAUAGGGUCUUGCUGAGUCACUAAGUUGCCCAGGCUGACCUUUAACUUGCGAUCCUCCUGACUCAGCUUCCUGAGUAGCUUGGAUUACAGGCAUGCACCACCUCACCUGGGAAUAUUAUGUACUGGUAGUUGACAUUUGUAUUAAGAUAAUUUGUGCAUUCACAUCCAGUUAUAUGAAGUAAUGUAAAAAGUCCAAGUCCACUCUGCCCUGAGUCUCCCCCUGGCAAGAUUUGGAAAAACUUCUUAUCACAACCAGGAUAAUGACAUCAAUACAGUGCGGCACGUCUUUGCUGGGCGGGGAUCUAACCCAUGGCCUGGGCUGCUCUCCACCAGGCAGCUACAGCCCCAGCCCCAGCCUCCCCGCGGUACGAAGCUCUCCCCUGUUUGAGACCCGCUUCUCUGUUAGUUUGUUCAGUUCUGGACCACUUAUCAUGUGACCGUGUAUUUCUUUCCUGAAACAAAGCUUAGCGUAUUUCUACUCUAUCAAUCCUGAUGGUGUUAUUGUUGCUCAAAAUGCGUAUCUGCAUAUUUUUGUUUGCUUAAAAGUUUUAUUUUUCUUUUGCAUCAUAUGGUUUUGGUGUUAAGUCUGUUACUCAGGUCUUUUCUAGCGCUGUGGGUUGGACUCAUCUGUCUCUUAUCAAGAAUAAUUCGGAAGCAGUAUUAGCUCUAAGUGAGCAGAUCCUGACACCGGUGAGGUUACGUAACUUGUCUUAACCAUGCACAACUAAGACGGGAUGAUUCAGGGCUGAAAAGAGGCAGCUUGUCUCUGGGACCCAGUCUUUGAACUUCGAUGUUUUACAGCCUCAUUACCGAGAUUCCAAGUGUGGCUAUUAGUUGGCCUUAGUGGCACACGCCUGUGAUCCCAGCUACUUGGAAGACUGAGGCCAGAAGAUCGCAGACCCAGGCCACCGUGAGCAACCUCUGCAGACCCUGUCAUAACAAUAAAAGAAAAUAAAGCAGCUGGGAAUGUAGCUUUGUAUUAGAGUGCUUGCACAGCAUGCACGAGGGCCUGGGUUCAUUCCUUACCUCUAGUACCAGAAAGGAGGGGGUAGAACUAUAAUAAUAUAGGGUAUGUAAGCAAAGUCAUGGAGACUCAAAAUGCAUACAGUUACCCAUACAAACACUUGCAUCCAAAUAUGUCCACAGCAACAAUGUUAUUAUUGUUUUAAAAAGAAAUGGAAAAAUGAGAGGCUGCUGCCAUUCCAGGCCAACCUGGGCUAAAUAGUGAGUUUGAGGCCUGCAUGAACCACAAAGCAAAACCCUGUGUCCAAAAUAAUAAUAAUAAUAAAAACAACCCAAAUGUCCCACUCUAGAAUCAAUACACAAAGUGUGGCUUAUCCACGCAGAAUUAGAAGGAGUGGAUCACUGCUUGGGGGAAGUCCACCUUGUGCUUGAUUUCCCAGAGCUCUCAGGACUUAGCCGGGGCAGCUGAGCAGACGGGAGCUCACUCGGUGGGGAGCAGGAUGGGCGCAUGGUGCUCUGGUGUCCCCAGGUGGGCACUCGGGGCCUGACCACUGCCCAGCUGUGCAGGAGAGCUCAGCCCGGGACCCGGGGCUCUGCAAAAGUCUCCAUCCUUGCUAAAACUGCUGCCAAAUGUGUGGCUUCCACCAGAAGCGAGAAGAAAUCUCCACGUUGGUUCUUCCAGGAACAGAAAUGGCUCGGUGAACACCUCGUCUCUCGGAGCUCCAGCUCAGAGUCCGCUGCCUGCUUCUGUCCACCUGCUCUCGUGGGUUGCAUUUGAAAUGGCAGUGCAAGUGUCUGUCAAAAUGAAAAACAUCAGCCUUGGAUUCGAGUCUGUGCACUUUGAAAGAAGAUCUCACAGCAAGGAAAAGUAUUCAUCAGCGGGGUUCAGCAAAGGAUGCGCUCGGUAAUGAAGCUGAUCUGGGCCUUCAGCAGCUUUUUGCAGGUAGCUGUGUUGUUUUCUCUGGAAGCAGAGAUGCUUGACAAUGAGAGCGAGGUUACUUCAGUCUCCUCGUAUAGGGCAAACUCUAAGCAUCACUUCAGGGAAAGUGAGAUAUAAAAAGAACCCUUCUGUGUCCCUCUGAAGAACACAACUCCAUCUGAAGAUGGAUUUCACACCUAAACAGCCGUGCUACAAAGAAAGACAAGAACAUGCAUCAAAUCCCCAUUUUCUGGGUUUACUACUCCCCAAAGUAGUAAGCUCCCGAGUGACUCUUUGAGGAAAAAUUCAGUCUCACUAAAAACUUAGAUGAUAAUCAUUUCAGUAAAUGAAGGAAAUGGUUUCUAGUUUUGAAAAUGUCAGGUAAGGUACAAAAAUGCAAAAGCAGGAGACCAGGAAAUUCAAAAGAAUUUACUGAUUUCUUUUUUUACUUAACUUUAUUGGUACUCAGCCAAUUUAUUUUCCUUACUACUUAGUAAACUCAGGCAAGGAAUUCAUUCCGUUAUCUAUCCGAUCACUUGGGUAAAGUCUUAGUGAAAACUUAUUAACACAGUGAUGUAAAAAUUAGAUUGCAGUCCAGUGGAGAUUCAUAUGGCCUGGGAAAAAUCUUGAGACUUCUUCUUCAGGACUUCAGUUUAACAAAAUAUUGGACUGAUGGUCAUGUGGGAAAUAGAAAACAUCCAUGUCUCUAAGAAUAUGUAUUUAAUUCAUAAUAGAAAUGGCUUCAGCAGACCAUAGAUCUGUGUGCUAACG